rnacentral:SRP_RNA from 1 species
GCUGGGCAUGGUGGCUCAUGCCUGUAAUCCCAGCUACUCGGGAGGCUGAGGCGGGAGAAUUGCUUGAAUCCAGGAGGUGGAGGUUGCAGUGAGCUGAGAUCGUGCCACUGUACUCCAGCCUGGGUGACAGAGUGAGACUCCGUCUCAA